CGUAGGGUGCAAGCGUUGUCCGGAAUUAUUGGGCGUAAAGAGCUCGUAGGCGGUUUGUUGCGUCGGCUGUGAAAUCCCGAGGCUCAACCUCGGGUCUGCAGUCGAUACGAGCAAACUAGAGUGUUGCAGGGGAGACUGGAAUUCCUGGUGUAGCGGUGAAAUGCGCAGAUAUCAGGAGGAACACCGGUGGCGAAGGCGGAUCUCUGGGCCGAUACUGACGCUGAGGAGCGAAAGCGUGGGGAGCGAACAGG
rnacentral:rRNA from 1 species